rnacentral:rRNA from 1 species
UCCCUAUGGGGUGCAGCAGGCGCGAAAUCUUUGCAAUAGGCGAAAGCCUGACAAGGUUACUCUGAGUGGUUUCCGCUAAGGAAAUCUUUUGGCACCUCUAAAAAUGGUGCAGAAUAAGGGGUGGGCAAGCCUGGUGUCAGCCGCCGCGGUAAUACCAGCACCCCGAGUGGUCGGGACGAUUAUUGGGCCUAAAGCAUCCGUAGCCGGUUCUACAAGUCUUCCGUUAAAUCCACCUGCUUAACAGAUGGGCUGCGGAGGAUACUAUAGAGCUAGGAGGCGGGAGAGGCAAGCGGUACUUAGUGGGUAGGGGUAAAAUCCGUUGAUCCAUUGAAGACCACCAGUGGCGAAGGCGGCUUGCCAGAACGCACUCGACGGUGAGGGAUGAAAGCUGGGGGAGCAAACCGGAUUAGAUACCCGGGUAGUCCCAGCUGUAAACGAUGCAGACUCGGUGAUAAAUAGGCUUCGUGCCUAUUCAGUGCCGCAGGGAAGCCGUUAAGUCUGCCGCCUGGGGAGUACGGUCGCGAGACUGAAACUUAAAGGAAUUGGCGGGGGAGCACCACAAGGGGUGAAGCCUGCGGUUCAAUUGGAUUCAACGCCGGAA